rnacentral:rRNA from 1 species
UUUCGCAAUGCCCGAAAGGGUGACGAAGCGACGCCGCGUGUGGGAAGAAGGCCUUCGGGUUGUAAACCGCUGUUGGGAGUUAGGAAGUGUGGGAGUGUUAAUAGCGCUUCCACUUGACUAGAGCUCCAGAGGAAGCCACGGCUAACUCUGUGCCAGCAGCCGCGGUAAUACAGAGGCGGCAAGCGUUGUUCGGAAUUAUUGGGCGUAAAGAGCACGUAGGCGGCUCUGCAAGUCAGCUGUGAAAGCCUUCUGCUUAACGGAAGAACAGCAGUUGAAACUACAGGGCUUGAGUGCGGGAGGGGAGAGUGGAACUUCUGGUGGAACGGUGAAAUGCGUAGAUAUCAGAAGGAACGCCGGCGGCGAAAGCGGCUCUCUGGUCCGUAACUGACGCUGAGUGUGCGAAAGCUAGGGGAGCAAACGGGAUUAGAUACCCCGGUAGUCCUAGCCGUAAACGAUGGGCACUAAGUAGAGGGGUUUU